GGGGGGGGCGGGCUCCCAAGAGGAGGGGCGGGCUCGGAGCGGCGGCGGCGCGGGGUUGUUCCGGAAAGGGCUGGCACCGGGCCGGCCGAGGGGCCCCGGGAGGCCGUCUUAAGAAGUUGGUUUUAUCUAGGAGGCAGCGGAGGGUGGUCAACGGAUCCGGGCAGGGCAGGGUCAGAUGUGGGUCGCAGAGGCGGCCUGGCCGAGGCGGGGUGCAGAAGAACGGUCUGGAAGCUUUACAGCAGCGCUCGGCACACAGCAGCAGCCUGCAGCCAUCCAGAGCUCCUUAGGGUUCCAAGAAUGCGACCUGCCCUGCAGCGACCUGCCCUGCAGCUGCGUGGCCCGCACCGGACCAGCUGGAGCUCAGACAGCCCCCCGGGCGGAAGCUCGGCGGAGAGCUCCCUGGGCCCCUCAGGCGAGCCUCCCACAGCCCCUGCUUGGCCGGCACCUCUGACGCGUCCUUCUUCAGCCUCUCCACUUGGCUGCCUCCCCCACCAGAUGGCAAAGACCCCCCCCCAAAGCAGCCAGGGUGACUUCGCCUUUUGUUUCUCCAGCUGCUUGCCCGCUUCAAAGGCAACAGGUCUUUGCUGACCCCCAAGGGCUGCUCACCCCUCCGCCCCACGCCAGGCGGCGUUCCCAGAAAACAGGUCUGCCCAAGACGGGCCUCUCCCCGAACGAUGCGGCCACCUCCAGCCACUCCCAAAGAGGAGGCCGGCCGCGCCCGGAGCCCCAGUGACUGACUCCCCACCAGGACAGCCCUAAGACUCCCCUUAACCACAGGGAACGAUCGUGCGCGCCCACGCCGAGCUCCAAGCGAACCAGGACUGGGGCCGACUUGCUCCCGCUACACUGCAGCUGGCUCCCGGGACAGCGGACAGCGCUGGCCCCGAGGGAUGCUCAGCACACACCCACGGUGAACGUCGCCCCUUAACGUUCACGGACACGGCUUUGCAGCGCACCGCCUAGGAGGUGUGUCCACGUUUGUGUGUGAUGCUGGACUCUGAGCAGUCGUUGUCCCCUCCAGGCCAUCAGCAGCCUGCUGGAAGUCGGCUGGGGCGGGGCUGGCAGCUCCAGAGAGCCCACUGCCUUCCAGGACGCCGGGGAGCACAGGCAGGGUGUGAGCGCGCCCCCUUCAGGCCGGGAUCCAGGUCAGCCGAAGCCAGGGGAGGGUCGUGGGCGGUAGGCACAGCAGCAGGAGCCGAGCUGGCGGCUGGGGCGCGGUGUUUCCAAAGGCACCUGGGCACAUCCCUUGGGCACAGCCAGAACCGGAGACACCCCUACCCUGGCCCCUCAGGAGCAGGGACGUCGUGCUGCUGUGCUGAAGGCCUGCCGCCCCAGAGCUUCCCGGCCCGCGCAGGCGUGCCCCAAGGGAGGCCCGCGGGAGCGGCUUGCCCUUUCUUCCCACGCCAGUCCUGAGAGCGGCUGGCUUCCUCGUGCUCAGGGCCAGAGCGAAUCAGGGAACACCGCCGUGCUGUCCUGUGAGCUGUCUGAUAAUGAAAGCCCAGACCUUGAGUCACUUUCACAGAGAGAUUUAUCGAGAAUGCUAACAGCACAGGAUACAGUACUUCCCAACAAAAGGUGCAAACGCGUCACUUAAAAGGCAUGCUGAGUAUUCUUGGCUUUCACACGUAUUAAAAAACUUACAAAAAUAAAAGGAAACUGCGUGCUGCCCAUCUUUUCAAAUAGUAAAAGAACCUUAUGAAAAAAUCACUUGAUUUUACAACAAAAGACACAAACGGACAUUUUUAUGUAAAUUUAUAAGGCAAACUCUUUAUAUAAUAAAUAGGUUACAGGGAUUCAGUGGGGGGUGUUUUUGAAACGUAUACAGGUACAUUCAGACAGGUUUACUGAAAUGGUACAAAUUUCCUUAAUAAAUUGCCUUUUGUUUUUAAAUAUAUCAGUGCUUUCAGUCAUUUGGCUAUACACAAAGAACCUUUUUUUGAACACUACAAAAAAGCAAUCAAUAUUUUUUGUUUUUAAAACGACCUACUUAUUUUUCUAAAGUAAUUGUCCCAAAACACAAAAACUGAAGGUGAAUGCGAUAGAGGGCUUUUGGAGACAUCUCCAGCCAAGUCUGUCCUGGGCUGUUCCCCGCGCCCCACGCACGCCUUGCCCACCCUCGGGCGGGCUUCUGGGCUGGAGCCAGCUCCCUCUGCACUGGGCCACCUGUGUCACUGCGACUCAGGACGGGGCAGCGACUCUGUCGGGUUCUUGCCGCUACUCAACCCCACGCGCAAACAGUCGCCACAGUCAGCACUGUGCUCACCUUUCAGAGGAGGGGCCGCCAGGCGCUAAGGGGGCACGCGUUUGUCCCUGCUCCAUCAGCCCUCCACAGUGUCUGGGAGGCAACGGCUUCUCUGAGAAGGAGGAUCUGGACUUGCCAUGAAAAAAGAAGGGGGUUUCUCACGUCCAAAUUUUGCUGGGGAUUGGAUGACAGCAAAGAGAGGGCACCCCCUCCGCCAUCACCUCUUCGUCUGGGCACGGGGGGGGAUUGAGAGGUCACGUCACGAGCGAGCACUGCGGGACGGGGCGGGAGGGGACGACGGUGCCCUGAUCAGUAAUGCCCACCCUGAACAGUAAUGCCCUGUCAACGUAUACCCGACCUGUGGCCAUGGCGCAGGUCUCCAGGGAGAUGCCCACCCUCUGUCUGAGCUGCACCACUCGGGCCCGCCCCAACCUUCUCCCACUGAGGCCAGGUUGGCUCUGCUCACACCCCUCGCGGGAACAUCAGCCUUGUCUGUCCUUAUUGAAAACAUAACCAUGAUGCGAAUAAUCUCGGGGGGGGGGGGGCAAAAGAAUUCACCGAAUGGAACAAAACCUGGUUUGGCUCUAACUUCGAAAACGGCAACACAUCAGCUAUUCGGUCCAUUGGCUUUAGGCUUAACUUCUUUGGGUGGCUUCUGGCUGGUCUGGGCAGGGGUCUCGUCUUUGGAUCUCCCCUCCUGGGGAAAAAGGACAGCCCCUCCAGUCCCGGUUACUGUCCCCUCCCUCCGAAUUCUUUUGUUUGUAAAGAAAAGGUGUCUAGAAGCAUUUGUCUCUGGAACAAUUACUUUAAACAUGGUUACAAUACAGACUUCAGUUCAAACACAGAAGAGAUUUACUUAGCAAAGUUCCUUUCACCCACCAAAAAUUACACAAAUAUAAGCCUCAACACCACAGUUAAGAGGACCAGUAGAGAGAAUCUUAUGUUUGGAACACAAAAGGAGAAAUAAAAACCAAACCAAACCCAAACAGAAAAAC